rnacentral:rRNA from 1 species
GAUGAACGCUAGCGGAAGGCAUAAUACAUGCAAGUCGAACGGAUGUAGCAAUACAUUAGUGGCGCACGGGUGCGUAACGCGUAUGCAACCUACCUUCAUCAGGGGGAUAACUACCCGAAAGGGUGGCUAACACCGCAUAAUACUACUGAAUGGCAUCAUUUGGUAUUUAAAUCUGAGGAGGAUGAAGAUGGGCAUGCGUCUGAUUAGCUAGUUGGUGUGGUAACGGCGCACCAAGGCGACGAUCAGUAGGGGAACUGAGAGGUUGGUCCCCACACUGGAACUGAGAUACGGGCCAGACUCCUACGGGAGUCAGCAGUAGGGAAUAUUGGUCAAUGGUGGGAACACUGAACCAGCCAUUCCGCGUGCAGGAAGAAGGGUCUCUGACUUGUAAACUGCUUUAGCAAGGGAAGAAAAAGCUCAUGCGUGAGAAAUUGACGGUACCUUGAGAAUAAGCACCGGCUAACUACGUGCCAGCAGCCGCAGUAAGAC